rnacentral:lncRNA from 1 species
GCUUCUCCAGGUCUUUAACGAUCAUUUUUGUUGGAGAAGAUCUUAAUAAUGUCUUCAAAUUCUUCGGAUUCUCCUCCACCUGAUUCAUCUUCACAAUCACCCCCUCCACCAUCUGAAGAAGAAUCAUCGCCUCCUCCACCGUCGUCAUCUCCGCCACCAUCAUCUCCUCCUCCGUCAUCACCACCUCCAUCAUCGCCCCCGCCCGCAUCACCCCCGCCAUCCUCGCCUCCCCCCGAUGAUAAAAAAUCUCCGCCCCCUCCAUCAGGCUCUUCCCCAUCUCCACCAUCACCACCACCACCACCUUCUGACCAAAACUCACCCAACAACCCACCUUCUCCUCCGCCGCCAUCACAUUCCAGCGAACAGUUUUCUCCUCCUCCACCGUCACAUCACCGGUUGUCUCCGGGUCACACUAAAUCAUCAGACUCCGGCACACCAUCAGGGGACAAC